GCCAAAUAAAUCAUUUUCAUAACAUUCAAACACUGCAUGGAUUUUAUUAUGUAGGCAAAAACCUGUAUUGCUAUGGAUUAAACUGCUCUAAGUUUUCUUAGAGCAGAGCCACCACAUUCAUUCAAUUUAGUUAAACUGCUAGGCCAAGGUAAGAAAAGAAAUUCACAAUGUCAAGACAUGAGGAGUCUGAUUCCAUCCCAUUAACUUUUUUGUCUUCUAAGUUAUAUUCUAUAGUUUCUAUUUUCAUAGGAGUGAUAGGAGGAAAUUUAAGAACAUCUUAAUUUUUCCUAUAAUGGUCUUCUCACCAUCAGGGUCAUUUUUUCCUUAUGUUAUAGGUGAAAUUUAGAAUUACCAGGCAGUUGAAAUGUUUCCUGUUAAUAAUCAGAUUAAUUAGCAAGUAUGUUAAAGUAUGUUAAAAAGUAAUCUGCCUGAAAUCAUCUCUGUAGUUCAAGUGAAUUCUCUUAGUUCAGGUUCCUAGCAGCAACAUUUAGUAGUCGAUGCC
rnacentral:lncRNA from 1 species